CGCCCCGCCCUCCCUAGACCAUCCCACUGCGGAGCGCCCCAGCCCCCUCGCUCGUCUUCCUCCUCGCGCACGACCGGACUCCAGUAGCGCAAGCGCCGCCGCCGCCGGUUGAUCUCCCCUUCGAUUCUACCGCCGCCGGUGGUUUCUUCUCCCAUCACCCCACGAAUUGAUUCUGCCCUGUAUCUCUCCCGUUUUAUCUCCUUAAUCUCCCCCAAUUCGUAACUGGGGCAAAAAUCAAGGUAGGGCUUGCCCUACUGGGUCCUCCGCCCGUGAUGAAACCUGAGGAUGUGUUCAAUAAAUUGACCAAGAAACUGCAAGAUCCUGCCGAUUUUGUGGAUUUUGACCUGCCAUCUGCAUUGAAAGAAUGGAAGUUAGGCUACUACAUACCAAUUAAGCGGAAUGUUUAUCUUAUGAAGAAACGCGUUGAAGAUGAUGGCAUUUUCUGUGCUUGUCCUUUUAUUUCUGGAUCAUCAGUUGCUUGUGGAAAAGAUUGCCAAUGCGGGAUGCUGUUCUCUUGUUGUUCAUCAAACUGUAAAUGUGAGAAUAGGUGUGCCAAUAAAUCAUUCCAGCUCAGGCCUAUGAAAAAAACCAAAUUGAUUAAGACAGAGAAAUGUGGGUUUGGAUUGGUAGCUGAUGAAGGAAUACAGCAAGGAGAGUUUAUUAUAGAAUAUGUAGGUGAAGUUAUUGAUGACAGGACUUGUGAGGAAAGACUAUGGAAAAUGAAGAGACAGCGCUACACUAACUUUUACCUUUGUGAGGUCAGUAGCAACAUGGUCAUUGAUGCAACAAACAAGGGAAACAAGUCAAGGUUUAUCAAUCAUAGUUGUCAACCAAACACAGAGAUGCAGAAAUGGACUGUAGAUGGAGAGACCAGAGUAGGAAUUUUUGCUCUUCAUGACAUAAAGAAAGGAGAGGAGCUAACCUAUGACUAUAAAUUUGUCCAGUUUGGAGCAGAUCAAGAUUGCCAUUGUGGAUCUUCAAACUGCAGAAAAAUGGUUGGCACCUCUAAGUCGGUCAACUCAAUUGUUCUUCACAAUGGCAACUCAGGCAGCUCACAAGAUCAGCAUAUUGUGAAAAAAAGAAAGACAACCUCUGAUAAUUGUAUUGGGGAGAUUAUCCGUUUGUGGGAUCGACGGGACAAAAUGUAUGUCCCAGCAGUUAUAUAUGACUUCGAUGAGUACACUGCAAUGCAUACUUUACUGUUUGACGAAGAAGCUACUGAAAAAUUUGAUUUGGGAGAGGAAGAUUGGAACUUCCUACCGGUAUGACAUUCUUAUUUGCCGAACAAGUUUGUCUUUGGAGCAUCUGGGAAUUGUUGGCUAGCCCAAAUGUGUAUUUUUUCUAGCUACCAGUAGCCUAAAAGCGUCCAGAAGAUCCAGAUGAAGACUGAUAAUUGAAGGAUCCCUACGUUUCUGUGUACCAACAGAUACAUCCAAUUUAUUCCCCAUCUCAACAGAACCUGUCACUCCAUUGUAAUUUUGUUUCUCAGUAAACACUAAUGAAGUGUUAACUCCAGUCAAUUUGAAUAUGAAAUUAUCUGAGCAGCUUGCAAAUGGAGUACAAAUCAUCAAUGGGAAGUACUUGGGGCAACUGUCCACGAGUCGGAGUUUUUUCAGUGUCCUCCGGCCUUGUAGAAAUCAGAGAUCUUCCCUCACGUUAGAUUAUUUUUUUAUCUGUUCCCCAGCCCUUGUAAAAUUGUGUUGCACUCUUAAAUCACGUUGAUUUCCUGUGGUCUCAGCCUUUGUAAAUCAGUUUCCUUUUACUGUUUGCUGUUCAUUAAACUGGCCACAAUUUUAUUCUAUUUUCUGGGUACAAAUGCUGCUGAGAGUGAACUUGGUAAUUGUUGAUGAGAUGUCGGUAAUUGUUGAAAGAA